rnacentral:rRNA from 1 species
GAUGAACGCUAGCGGCAGGCCUAAUACAUGCAAGUCGGACGGGAUUCAGGAGCUUGCUUCUGAUGAGAGUGGCGCACGGGUGCGUAACACGUAUGUAACCUACCUUUAUCAGGGGGAUAGCCUCUCGAAAGAGAGAUUAAGCCCGCAUAAAAUCACAGCACAGCAUUGUGUAAUGAUCAAAUAUUUAUAGGAUCAAGAUGGGCAUGCGGAACAUUAGCUAGAUGGCGGGGUAACGGCCCACCAUGGCGACGAUGUUUAGGGGAUCUGAGAGGAUGGCCCCCCACACUGGUACUGAGACACGGACCAGACUCCUACGGGAGGCAGCAGUAAGGAAUAUUGGUCAAUGGGCGGAAGCCUGAACCAGCCAGGCCGCGUGCAGGAAGACGGCCCUACGGGUUGUAAACUGCUUUUAUACGGGAAUAAACCCAGAUACGUGUAUCUGGCUGAAUGUACUGUAAGAAUAAGGAUCGGCUAACUCCGUG